UACAGAGACUGCAAGCGUUAUUCGGAUUCACUGGGCGUAAAGGGUGCGCAGGCGGUCGCGUGUGUCAGGUGUGAAAUCUCGGGGCUUAACUCCGAAACUGCGCCUGAAACUACGUGACUAGAGCAUUGGAGAGGGUAGCGGAAUUCACGGUGUAGCAGUGAAAUGCGUAGAUAUCGUGAGGAACACCAGAGGCGAAGGCGGCUACCUGGACAGUUCCUGACGCUGAGGCACGAAGGUCAGGGGAGCAAACGGG
rnacentral:rRNA from 1 species